CACAUACCAAACUUCUUUGACCUUUGGAGUGUAUCCUUCAUGUAUCGAAUAGCAUAAUUUUUACUUGAAGCAUUAUCAAUUGUAACUGUAAAAACUCUAUUUUCAAUGCCCCACUCUUUCAUGCAUCCAAAUAUAGCAUCAGAAAGCUGAAGACCUCCCUUCGGUGGUGGAAUGUUAAUGAAGCUUAAAACUCUCUUCUGCAACCUCCAAGAAGAAUCAAUCCAAUGGCCAAUGACA